AUUGAACGCUGGCGGCAUGCUUUACACAUGCAAGUCGAACGGUAACAGGUUAAGCUGACGAGUGGCGAACGGGUGAGUAAUGCAUCGGAACGUGCCCGAUCGUGGGGGAUAACGCAGCGAAAGCUGCGCUAAUACCGCAUACGAUCUGAGGAUGAAAGCGGGGGACCGUAAGGCCUCGCGCGAUCGGAGCGGCCGAUGUCAGAUUGGGUAGUUGGUGGGGUAAAGGCUCACCAAGCGAACCAUCUGUAGGUGGUCUGAGAGGACGACCAGGCACACUGGGACUGAGACACGGCCCAGACUGGUGCGGGAGGCAGCGGAGGGGAAUUUUGGACAAUGGGCGAAAGCCUGGUCCAGCAAUGCCGCGUGCAGGAAGAAGGCCUUCGGGUUGUAAACUGCUUUUGUACGGGGCGAAAAGGCUCUCUCUAAUACAGGGGGCUCAUGACGGUACCGUAAGAAUAAGCACCGGCUAACUACGUGCCAGCAGCCGCCGUAA
rnacentral:rRNA from 1 species